UUCCGCCUCGGCAUCCUGACCCUCGCCGUGCUGCUCCUGGCCGCCGCCUCGGAGGGCGCGGAACCGCCGCCGAGCUGCGAGGCGGUCCGGAAAGUUUUCCAGCUGCGGCGGCUCGGCCCGCUCGGCGGCGUCCCGGAGUUCCCGCGGGCAGGACAUCGCGGCUGCCCCCUUACUCAAGAGAGAAAAUUCCCUUCUCGGGCUGUGGGCGCUGGAGCACCCCGAUACCUGCCCGAAGCGCCCUUGUGCCCGCCCACUUCGACUCCGUACCGCGCAGAGCUGCGCUUCAGCCGGGGUCACCCUGCUUCCAGCCGGCCCUGGCAGGCACGCGAACCUGGAGGCUGGGGACAGCCACCGAGCUGCGCUGGGGCUGCUGGAGUCACUCUGCUGGGAAACGAGAAUGACUUACACCGCUGCAAGUGCUCGGGCUGCGCAUUUUCCCUACUCGAUAGCUACCUGUCACUGGAAUGUAAUGGAAUAAAAUUCCCGGGAAAGGAGAGUCUUCAUGGCAAUUUGAGUAUAGCUAGCAUUUGUAUCAGCAAUGAUUUUUUUUUUUUUUUUUAAAGUAGAUGCUGAAUGACGGUGCAAAGCUGAAUGACGUAGUAAGGUGUAGGUUUUUAGGUUUGAGGUUUCGGUUCCAGGUUUGUGAGAACCUCAGUUGAACUUAGAGGAUUAAAGUGCAAGUAUUUUAGUGAUCAGCCAUAUAGGAUGAGAAAACAACUUUUUUUUUUUUGCCCAUCUGUAAAGUGUGUUCAUUUUUGGAUGACAAGUUAACUAGUAAAUGUGAGUCAGUGCUUUUUAGACAGAAAAUGCAACAAAAGAUGAGUUAAUGUCCCCCUCACUUAAAAAUAUCAAUAACUAACUUCAUUUUUUUAAAAGAUAAUUUGUGUCAUUUUUAUUAACUCUGCAAGUUGAGAUAAGGUGUACUAGGUUUAUUUUAAAGGAAUCCCUCCAAAAUAGAGCUUUUAAUAACUCUGGCUUUAAAUUUGUAAUGCUUAACAGUCAAUAUUGCAGUGUGUAGUUUUCAAAUUGGAGUACUAUAUUUGUUACCAGUACAUUUAUCAACAUGCAUGAUUGUCUUCUUGCAUUGUCCUAACCUAAAGAUUUUAUAAUUGUCUUUGAUACAAAGAAAAUAAAUGCUUCAAUUGGAAAGCCUGAUGAGACAAGUACUGUGCAAAUGAAGGUGUUUGGAAAGUGAAAUCUGAGUUACAGCCCUGUCGGUGAUUUAGUUUUUCUGUGCUGAUUAUUUGUGUGAAUAAUCUCAGUAUGAAUGAUAUUGUAUCACUUUAUCUAUGUUUUUCUCAUUCUGUAGUCUUGUGUAAAUGUUGUGCUUUCUCUGUUAUUAUUUUUGAUUACUUUACCAUUCAUUUGUGUACGAGGGAUAGGGAGGAAAUAUGUUGACUCAAAAGAAAAAAACUAUAGUACCUUAUAUAUGUUUCUUCUGCUCCGCUCCUCCAAUUUCCUCCUUUCUCCUAUAAUAUUUUUAUACCACUACUCACUUUCUUCUUUUGAUUUUGACUUUUCUGCAUUUCCUGCUUGUAGGAAAAGCCAUGUUUGAAUUGUAAGAAUAUAUAAAAUAAUUCCUUUCUUUGGUGCUGCCCUUGCAAACAGUGGGCAGUAGGAGGUGUGGUACAGCUGUAUGGUCAGCAGCCUUUUACUCUUUGAAGGAAUUACAUUGCUGUGGGCUGCCAGAGUUCUGGUUCUGAGUAGCAUUCAUCUCAGAUAUCAUUAAACAAAUAAUUGCAAACAGUAAAAUCUGUCCGGAAGUGCAAUGACAAGAAAACGGGGAUUAAAUGAGUAUUUUAGAAGAUUUAGGUGUGAUUAAAGGUUUUAGUAGGCUCAAAGUGUAAUGUGAAGAGAAAUGUCAGUUUUUGCUACUGAUCUUCUGUAUUAAGCCUUCUUUUGGGGCAAGAUGUAAAAAUAUUUUGAAACCUUUUCUGAUGACAGAAGAAAUGUGUUUGUGUAUAUGACACACACAUGUACCUGUAAAACACAUGCAUUUCUUGUAGGUGUCCACUUAUGAAAAUAGGUGUCCAAGCUUGCUGCCUUUACAAGCUUUAAUUUUGGUGCUGAAAUGUAGGCAUCUAUCAGCAUUUUAAUUUUCCUAAGGUUUCCAUCAUCUUCCCAAUGGGGCUGAGAGAUGUAAUAACUCUGGGAAAUUUACAUCUUUCUGGUAGUGCAGUGUGCAGUGGGUGGGAUAUCUUUGGCAUCUCAGGUGCUCCUCAGGGCAGCCACAGUGGACAGCUAGUGCAGCUUGUGGCAUGUUGGAGCUACUCCAUUAUCAAAUGUUAGUGUUGGCUUCAGAAUAAGCUGCAUAAAUGCUUCUACUGCAUUGCCUCUAUGUCUUUAUUUUAGUGGCACCUUAGACACAACUUGUUUAAGAACACUUUCAUUUAAAUGUCCUAAGCAGUCUCUUUGGGGUAGAGCAUGGUCACCAGCUGAGGUACAGCAGGAAUGCUGGUUGAUGUAUGGUUUUGUAUGCAGUGGAAGUAAAUAAAAUUAUAGGGUUUUUAUUUGCCUUGUUUUUGUUGCAUGUAAAAAAAAAAGGCUGUACCAUUCCCAUUCUUUCCUCUUCUUGGUAGGAAUAAAAACAGCAGCCUUAUCUCAGUAAAUCAUGUAAAUUCUAGUUCUGGAGAUGGUCAUGUGUCUGUAUUUUGAACAUAUUUUAGCUCAAAAACCAAUACAUUAUGUUAUAUAAUUAGUUUUGCAGCAAUUGUAUAAAGAUUGUGUAUCUUUAAGGGAGAAAAAAAAUAUUUCUGUCAUCCUGUGCAGAAAUGACAUAUACACGAAGGUGAUCUUGAAGAAUAUGAAAACUACAAAUUUGAGUUUGUGUUAUCAUCCACAUAGGACAGGAUAUAACAGUGUUGAAAAUGGAAACUAAUAAUCAAGAUAUAUAUAUAUAUAAUAAUCAAGAUAUAUAUUUUUUACCAAUCCCAAGGUACUUAUUGCUACCCCUAGCGAUCAAGACAUUUGACUAACUGUUCUUGGUCUUUUGUAAAUGUGAUUUGGAUUUGGGAGCUAUAGUACAAACUUAUGCUCAGCCCCAUCACAUGCUAUAUUGGAACAUUUAUUGCAUUCAUGCUGAUUUUAAGUGUUAGUUGCAAAAAUACUUUGUUUCCUGUCUGGUUCUGUGCUACAAGUACAUUUUUGGUGGGACUAUACAGAAUAACCUCAGUAAUUAAAAAUCCUAAAAACCACUUUUUUUGCUGUAUGAAGAAUUAAAUAAAAAGUACUC
rnacentral:lncRNA from 1 species